rnacentral:rRNA from 1 species
UGCAAGUCGAGGGGGUGGCAACACCACCGGCGCACGGGUGCGUAACGCGUAGGCAACCAACCCACCACUGGGGGAUAGCCUCUCGAAAGGGAGAUUAAUACCGCAUAACACGGGGAUGUGGCAUCACAUUCUUUGUUAAAGAUUUAUCGGUGGUGGCUGGGCCUGCGUCCCAUUAGCUAGUUGGCGGGGUAACGGCCCACCAAGGCGACGAUGGGUAGGGGAUCUGAGAGGAUAAUCCCCCACACUGGCACUGAGAUACGGGCCAGACUCCUACGGGAGGCAGCAGUAGGGAAUAUUGGGCAAUGGAGGAAACUCUGACCCAGCCAUGCCGCGUGCAGGAAGAAGGCGCUCAGCGUUGUAAACUGCUUUUAUCGGGGAAGAAAGGGCCCUUGCGAGGGACAUUGACGGUACCCGAGGAAUAAGCACCGGCUAACUCCGUGCCAGCAGCCGCGGUAAUACGGAGGGUGCAAGCGUUGUCCGGAUUUAUUGGGUUUAAAGGGUGCGCAGGCGGGAGAAUUAGUCCGUGGUGAAAGACGAUCGCUUAACGAUUGCAGUGCCAUGGAUACUGUUCUUCUUGAAUCUCGUUGAGGCGGGUGGAAUUGACCGUGUAGCGGUGAAAUGCAUAGAUAUGGUCAAGAACUCCAAUUGCGUAGGCAGCCCGCUGGGCGAGGAUUGACGCUCAGGCACGAGAGUGCGGGGAUCAAACAGGAUUAGAUACCCUGGUAGUCCGCACCGUAAACGAUGAUUACUAGGUGUUGGCGUCUAACGUCAGUGCCA